rnacentral:rRNA from 1 species
CAACUUUCAACAACGGAUCUCUUGGCUCUCGCAUCGAUGAAGAACGCAGCGAAAUGCGAUACGUAAUGUGAAUUGCAGAAUUCAGUGAAUCAUCGAAUCUUUGAACGCACCUUGCGCCCCUUGGCAUUCCGAGGGGCNCNCCCGUUUGAGUGUCGUGA